rnacentral:lncRNA from 13 species
CCUGGUGCUCCAAACCUUGAAUGAAUGGCCAUGGAAAGGUGGCCUGGCUCCAGUAGAGGCACUGCUACACUAGGCCACUACUCCAAUCUAGUUACAGAUACACCAAGGACGACUUCCUCCAACCAGGAAUGGGAGUGAAUGUUGUUGCUUGCCCCAAUGCCCCUAAAGGCAGGAGAACAAAAAACCUGGCUUUGGCCAUGAACUCUCCAAGCCCCCAUUGCCGAUGGUUGGCUCUCAUAGCCCCCUGGUGGGAGGGUCUACAGUAUGAUUUACAUGUCACUCUUUGGGUAUUUAAUAUAUGGCCUCUGUGACUGACCAUUCAUUGAGGAAUGACCAGGGAAGGAACCCUCCUUUGGGGAAUAUAUGUAUUUUCUCUGUGGCCUAUUGUGAGCUCCCUAGUGACUUUGGCACAGAUACAGGACCCAAAGGAACCAUGGGGAGCUGAGAAGGUGUGGUUCCAUCACCCAGGGCAGAAGCCCUUGGUGGCUGCAUUGUUAUCCAGAGAUGAAAGGGUGGCCUAUAUUUUGUCUGAGGGGCAUGAUUUAUCCUUGUUAAUAACCAUGCUGUUUUGUCAUUUUGACCAUAGGUUGACAUGCUCCAACAGCAUUGUGGAAUGUGCCCAUACCUUCUCUGAGGUGACCAAUAUUUCUAACUUAGAUCUGCACUGCCCUUCUAGCAGCAGCUCCAGAUGGCUUGCCCUGGCACAUACAUCCAGCUUCUAUGGAAAACUGGACAUGAUUAGAAACUUGGGGUCCCAUGGCCGUUGUUUUGAACAUGACACAGCAAGCUUUGGAAAAAGGUCUCUUCAUGGCUGUCCAACAAAUAGUCAGAGGAUCUGA